AUUGAACGCUGGCGGAAUGCCUUACACAUGCAAGUCGAACGGCAGCACGGGAGCAAUCCUGGUGGCGAGUGGCGAACGGGUGAGUAAUACAUCGGAACGUGCCCAACUCGUGGGGGAGUAACGUAGCGAGAGCUACGCUAAUACCGCAUACGAUCUACGGAUGAAAGCAGGGGACUCGCAAGAGCCUUGCGCGAAUGGAGCGGCCGAUGGCAGAUAGGUAGUUGGUGGGGUAAAGGCUCACCAAGCCUUCGAUCUGUAGCUGGUCUGAGAGGACGACCAGCCACACUGGGACUGAGACACGGCCCAGACUCCUACGGGAGGCAGCAGU
rnacentral:rRNA from 1 species